AACUAUGGUUGAGGCGGAGGAUGGUCAAUCUGAUCAUCAGGAAAAGCAAUGUUCUGAUCACCUCUGAUAAGCACAGAUAGCUUCUGAAAUUCUAAACAAAACAUAGCAUUCUGAGCUUCAGCAUUAGAUUGAAUCAUGUUCCUCAGCUCCUGAAAUUUGUUGUCUGUAUAGGCAAUCUGACGUUCUUCAUACUGCUCCAUGCCUGCAAAAUAAGAAUCCUUCAGCCCUUGGAAGUGCAGAUCCAUACGAUUGUUAAGUCGUUCCUCCAUAGCUUCCAUCUGAGCUAGACCAAAAACAGAGUUCUGAGGUGCUGUUCCAGAAGACUCCCCCUGAGUAGUUGCAUUCUGA
rnacentral:lncRNA from 1 species